GGGGACAGGCUCUAACACCUUGAUUCCUUAUGUCUGUGUCUCUGCAGUAUGUUUCAUGGAGAGUCUGAGUGACAGCAACCAUGAUGAAAGUGAUACAGGUAAGAACAGCUCUCAGGUAGGAGCCAAUGGGAGAGGAUCCCGGGACACUUGGGUGACGCCUGCUGCUUGGAGUGUGGGGCAGGUGAGUCUGAAACUUAAAACAGAAAGAAAUUGAUGUAAAGAUGUUCACCGCCUACUUUAAUAAGGAGAGGGAGCAGAUAUGAGAUGCCUGAAUGUUGGCAUCUGUGCUCACCUUGUGUGGAAGGGUCUCAGUCCAUGGAGCAGAGGAAGGUCUGGGCACCUGGAGGAAAAACCAGGGUGAUGCUCUGUACCCGUAGUCACCUCAGGGAAGCCGGAGAAACGGGAGGGCCACUCUUUCUAACUCCUUGAUUCCCCUGAUGGUGUGUUUCUACAGACUCAGUGGUGGAGAGCCUGAGCAGCCGCCAGGAUGAGGAGGCUGCAGCAACCCUCGAUGAUGUUGUGGAGGCCGGCGGGAGUGAGAAGACGGAGGAAGAGGCCCUGGCUGGGGCAAAUGAGGAGGAGGUGGGGCCGGGAACUGAGAAGGUGCAGGAGGAGGCUGCCUGCAUUGACGAGGCAGAGGAGGAGGCAGGCCCAUCCCUUGAAAAUGACGAGGAGUCCCCAGCCAGCGACCUGGUUGAGCAGGAAGACCAGCUUGCCCCCAAGGUAAGCUCACCUUUCUUGAUCGGAGAUUUAAAAAGGUGCCUCCUUUCUUCUUGGAUGUGCCUACUUCAGAAAAGGAAAUCUGAGCAAGUCCAUUAUAGAGGAUAUAUGCACAUUCCUCUGUGGAGGAAUGUUGAGUCAAAGUUUGGUACCAACCAAUAACUCCUUCCAAGGGGCAUUGGCAAAAGGGACCACAUCAGUUCCCAAGUGUACAUAGGGAGCAUUUGUCUUUGAAGAAGCCUGAAUGUUUUGUUUUGUUGUCUUUUUGCCUUUUCUAGGGCCACUCCUGUGGCAUAUGGAGGUUCCCAGGCUCAGGGUCAAACCAGAGCUGUAGCCACCGGCCUGCGCCAGAGCCACAGCAACGCGGGAUCCGAGCAACGUCUGCAACCUACACCUCAGCUCACGGCAAUGCCGGAUCCUUAACCCACUGAGCAAGGCCAGGGAUCGAACCCGCAACCUCAUGGUUCCUGGUCGGAUUCGUUAACCACUGCGCCACGACGGGAACUCCAAAGAAGCCUGAAUGUUUUUUAAAUGAACGUGGACUUGGGAGGUCUUCCAUGAAAAGCUGGUGCCUUUUCCACAGGUGUCUUUGCUGUCUUCUUUUGGGGAAACGGACUCAACUCUGCCUUCUGUCUGUGUGCCUGCGGUCCGCAACCACAGGAAGACCUGUGGCCACAGUGCAGAGGAUGCUGUGACACUCACAGUGUUUUCUUUUCUCUCAUCACAGGUGGACGGGAUGGACGAUGAAAGCCGUAAGUAUUCUGGAACCCGGCUCUGCUGAGGAGAAGUCCAGGUGUUGAGGAAGGGCGGGGGGUGCUUUCCUGCCCCUUUGGUUGCAGAGACACCCUGAUUCUGGGUUCCUCCUGGGAAAGGGGGUGAAGGAUGGGGUGAAAGAGACUGACUUCCCACAAAAGGGCCAUCCCAAGUCCUCGGGUCCCUGGAGGAAAGGAGGCUCUUUGUAUGGUGGGGGUAGGUGUCCGGGAACAUUGGGGGGUGUGCGUGUGAGG
rnacentral:lncRNA from 1 species